rnacentral:rRNA from 1 species
GAUGAACGCUGGCGGCGUGCCUAACACAUGCAAGUCGAGCGAAGCGCUUACUUUAGAUUUCUUCGGAAUGACGAGGUUUGUGACUGAGCGGCGGACGGGUGAGUAACGCGUGGGCAACCUGCCCUGUACAGGGGGAUAACAGUUAGAAAUGACUGCUAAUACCGCAUAAGCCCACAGCUUCGCAUGAAGCAGUGGGAAAAACUCCGGUGGUACAGGAUGGGCCCGCGUCUGAUUAGCUAGUUGGUAAGGUAACGGCUUACCAAGGCGACGAUCAGUAGCCGACCUGAGAGGGUGACCGGCCACAUUGGGACUGAGACACGGCCCAAACUCCUACGGGAGGCAGCAGUGGGGAAUAUUGCACAAUGGGGGAAACCCUGAUGCAGCGACGCCGCGUGAGCGAUGAAGUAUUUCGGUAUGUAAAGCUCUAUCAGCAGGGAAGAAAGUGACGGUACCUGACUAAGAAGCCCCGGCUAACUACGUGCCAGCAGCCGCGGUAAUACGUAGGGGGCAAGCGUUAUCCGGAUUUACUGGGUGUAAAGGGAGCGUAGACGGAAGUGCAAGUCUGAAGUGAAAGCCCGGGGCUCAACCCCGGGACUGCUUUGGAAACUGUAUUUCUAGAGUGCUGGAGAGGUAAGUGGAAUUCCUAGUGUAGCGGUGAAAUGCGUAGAUAUUAGGAGGAACACCAGUGGCGAAGGCGGCUUACUGGACAGUGACUGACGUUGAGGCUCGAAAGCGUGGGGAACAAACAGGAUUAGAUACCCUGGUAGUCCACGCCGUAAACGAUGACUACUAGGUGUCGGUGAGCAAAGCUCAUCGGUGCCGCAGCAAACGCAAUAAGUAGUCCACCCUGGGGAGUACGUUCGCAAGAAUGAAACUCAAAGGAAUUGACGGGGACCCGCACAAGCGGUGGAGCAUGUGGUUUAAUUCGAAGCAACGCGAAGAACCUUACCUGAUCUUGACAUCCCGGUGACCGCAGAGUAAUGUCUGUUUUCCUUCGGGACACCGGUGACAGGUGGUGCAUGGUUGUCGUCAGCUCGUGUCGUGAGAUGUUGGGUUAAGUCCCGCAACGAGCGCAACCCUUAUCCUUAGUAGCCAGCAUUGAGGUGGGCACUCUAAGGAGACUGCCAGGGACAACCUGGAGGAAGGUGGGGAUGACGUCAAAUCAUCAUGCCCCUUAUGACCAGGGCUACACACGUGCUACAAUGGCGUAAACAAAGGGAAGCGAGCCUGCGAAGGUAAGCAAAACCCAAAAAUAACGUCUCAGUUCGGAUUGUAGUCUGCAACUCGACUACAUGAAGCUGGAAUCGCUAGUAAUCGCGGAUCAGAAUGCCGCGGUGAAUACGUUCCCGGGUCU